GGGCAAUUAGCUCAGUUGGUUAGAGCGCAACACUGAUAAUGUUGAGGUCNNCCAGGCCCAUAACCUGGAGGUCGUCGGUUCGAGUCCGACCCCCG
rnacentral:tRNA from 1 species